rnacentral:rRNA from 1 species
AUUGAACGCUGGCGGCAGGCCUAACACAUGCAAGUCGAGCGGUUGACGGGGGCUUGCUCCCUGAUUCAGCGGCGGACGGGUGAGUAAUGCCUAGGAAUCUGCCUAUUAGUGGGGGACAACGUUUCGAAAGGAACGCUAAUACCGCAUACGUCCUACGGGAGAAAGCAGGGGACCUUCGGGCCUUGCGCUAAUAGAUGAGCCUAGGUCGGAUUAGCUUGUUGGUGAGGUAAUGGCUCACCAAGGCGACGAUCCGUAACUGGUCUGAGAGGAUGAUCAGUCACACUGGAACUGAGACACGGUCCAGACUCCUACGGGAGGCAGCAGUGGGGAAUAUUGGACAAUGGGCGAAAGCCUGAUCCAGCCAUGCCGCGUGUGUGAAGAAGGUCUUCGGAUAGUAAAGCACUUUAAGUUGGGAGGAAGGGUUGUAGAAUAAUACUCUGCAAUUUUGACGUUACCGACAGAAUAAGCACCGGCUAACUCUGUGCCAGCAGCCGCCGUAA